rnacentral:rRNA from 1 species
UACAGAGGUCUCGAGCGUUGUUCGGAUUCAUUGGGCGUAAAGGGUGCGUAGGUGGCGCGGUAAGUCAGGUGUGAAAUUUCGGAGCUUAACUCCGAAACUGCAUUUGAUACUGCGGUGCUUGAGGACUGGAGAGGAGGCUGGAAUUUACGGUGUAGCAGUGAAAUGCGUAGAGAUCGUAAGGAAGACCAGUGGCGAAGGCGGGUCUCUGGACAGUUCCUGACACUGAGGCACGAAGGCCAGGGGAGCAAACGGG